GAUGAACGCUGGCGGCGUGCCUAAUACAUGCAAGUCGAGCGAACGGACGAGAAGCUUGCUUCUCUGAUGUUAGCGGCGGACGGGUGAGUAACACGUGGAUAACCUACCUAUAAGACUGGGAUAACUUCGGGAAACCGUAGCUAAUACCGGAUAAUAUUUUGAACCGCAUGGUUCAAAAGUGAAAGACGGUCUUGCUGUCACUUAUAGAUGGAUCCGCGCUGCAUUAGCUAGUUGGUAAGGUAACGGCUUACCAAGGCAACGAUGCAUAGCCGACCUGAGAGGGUGAUCGGCCACACUGGAACUGAGACACGGCCCAGACUCCUACGGGAGGCAGCAGUAGGGAAUCUUCCGCAAUGGGCGAAAGCCUGACGGAGCAACGCCGCGUGAGUGAUGAAGGUCUUCGGAUCGUAAAACUCUGUUAUUAGGGAAGAACAUAUGUGUAAGUAACUGUGCACAUCUUGACGGUACCUAAUCAGAAAGCCACGGCUAACUACGUG
rnacentral:rRNA from 1 species